rnacentral:lncRNA from 1 species
UGCUACCCAAAUGGAUCACGAUGGUUCUUCUAAGAAGGUGCCUUGGUUUUCACUUUUUUCUCAUUCCUUUGAGAAGUGAUUUUAGUUAGGAAUGUGAUUAUAGAAAUCAUGAUGUUAAGUUAAAAAGCUCCCUAUGAUAGCAAAAAAUUAUUGAUAGAGAGCAACCUCCAGUACAACAACUCGUGAUGGAUCAAUACUUGUUUGUAAGAGCGUCAAUCAUUCUCGUG